rnacentral:rRNA from 1 species
UACGUAGGGUCCGAGCGUUAAUCGGAAUUACUGGGCGUAAAGCGUGCGCAGGCGGUUUUGUAAGCCAGAUGUGAAAGCCCCGGGCUCAACCUGGGAACUGCAUUUGGGACUGCAAGGCUGGAGUACGGCAGAGGGAUGUGGAAUUCUAGGUGUAGCGGUGAAAUGCGUAGAUAUCUGGAGGAACACCGGUGGCGAAGGCGGCAUCCUGGACCGGUAUUGACGCUGAGGCGCGAAAGCCAGGGGAGCAAACGGG